rnacentral:rRNA from 1 species
GACGAACGCUGGCGGCGUGCCUAAUACAUGCAAGUAGAACGCUGAAGGAGGAGCUUGCUUCUCUGGAUGAGUUGCGAACGGGUGAGUAACGCGUAGGUAACCUGCCUGGUAGUGGGGGAUAACUAUUGGAAACGAUAGCUAAUACCGCAUAAUAGCAGUUGUUGCAUGAUAACUGUUUGAAAGGUGCAAUUGCACCGCUACCAGAUGGACCUGCGUUGUAUUAGCUAGUUGGUGGGGUAACGGCUCACCAAGGCGACGAUACAUAGCCGACCUGAGAGGGUGAUCGGCCACACUGGGACUGAGACACGGCCCAGACUCCUACGGGAGGCAGCAGUAGGGGAUCUUCGGCAAUGGACGGAAGUCUGACCGAGCAACGCCGCGUGAGUGAAGAAGGUUUUCGGAUCGUAAAGCUCUGUUGUAAGAGAAGAACGAGUGUGAGAGUGGAAAGUUCACACUGUGACGGUAUCUUACCAGAAAGGGACGGCUAACUACGUG